rnacentral:sRNA from 1 species
UACGAUGAUGUCUACGCCACAUUCCAAU